rnacentral:rRNA from 1 species
AAUAACCCGGAGAUGAUAUCUGAGACACGAUAUCAGGCCCUACGGGGCGCAGCAGGCGCGAAAACUUCACAAUGCGCGAAAGCGCGAUGAGGGGAUCCCAAGUGCUUGCACGUAAGUGUAAGCUGUUUUUCUGUCUAAAAAGCAGAGAGAGUAAGGGCUGGGUAAGACGGGUGCCAGCCGCCGCGGUAAUACCUGCAGCUCAAGUGGUGAUCGCUAUUAUUGGGCCUAAAACGUCCGUAGCCGGUCUUAUAAAUGCCUGGGUAAAUCGGGCCGCUCAACGGUUCGAAUUCCGGGUAGACUGUAAGACUUGGGACCGGGAGAGGCUAGAGGUACUCCUGGGGUAGAAGUGAAAUUCUGUAAUCCUAGGGGGACCACCAGUGGCGAAGGCGUCUAGCUAGAACGGGUCUGACGGUGAGGGACGAAGCCCUGGGGCGCAAACGGGAUUAGAUACCCCGGUAGUCCAGGGUGUAAACGCUGCUUGCUUGAUGUUAGUCUGGCUCCGAGCCAGAUUAGUGUCGGAGAGAAGUUGUUGAGCAAGCUGCCUGGG